AUUGAACGCUGGCGGCAUGCCUAACACAUGCAAGUCGAACGGUAACGCGAAGGGCUUGCUCUUUGGCGACGAGUGGCGGACGGGUGAGUAAUAUAUAGGAAUCUACCUAGAGAUGGGGGAUAACCUGGGGAAACCCAGGCUAAUACCGCAUAAUCCCUACGGGGGAAAGCAGGGGAUCUUCGGACCUUGCGUCUUAUGAUGAGCCUAUAUCGUAUUAGCUUGUUGGUGGGGUAAAGGCCUACCAAGGCGACGAUCCGUAGUUGGUUUGAGAGGAUGACCAGCCACACUGGGACUGAGACACGGCCCAG
rnacentral:rRNA from 1 species